ACGGGUGAGUAACACGUAAGGAACCUGCCUCAAGGAUUGGGAUAACUCCGAGAAAUCGGAGCUAAUACCGGAUAGUUCAACGGACCGCAUGGUCCGCUGAUGAAAGGCGCUCCGGCGUCACCUUGAGAUGGCCUUGCGGUGCAUUAGCUAGUUGGUGGGGUAACGGCCCACCAAGGCGACGAUGCAUAGCCGACCUGAGAGGGUGAUCGGCCACACUGGGACUGAGACACGGCCCAGACUCCUACGGGAGGCAGCAGUAGGGAAUCUUCCACAAUGGACGAAAGUCUGAUGGAGCAACGCCGCGUGAGUGAUGAAGGUUUUCGGAUCGUAAAACUCUGUUGUAAGGGAAGAACACGUACGAGAGGGAAUGCUCGUACCUUGACGGUACCUUACGAGAAAGCCACGGCUAACUACGUGCCAGCAGCCGCGGUAACACGUAGGUGGCAAGCGUUGUCCGGAAUUAUUGGGCGUAAAGCGCGCGCAGGCGGCCUUUUAAGUCUGAUGUGAAAGCCCCCGGCUCAACCGGGGAGGGCCAUUGGAAACUGGAAGGCUUGAGUACAGAAGAGAAGA
rnacentral:rRNA from 1 species